CCUACGGGAGGCAGCAGUGGGGGAUAUUGCACAAUGGGGGAAACCCUGAUGCAGCGACGCCGCGUGUGGGAAGACGGUCCUCUGGAUUGUAAACCACUGUCCCCAGGGACGAAGAUGACGGUACCUGGGGAGGAAGCUCCGGCUAACUACGUGCCAGCAGCCGCGGUAAUACGCAGGGAGCAAGCGUUUUCCGGAAGUACUGGGUGUAAAGGGAGCGUAGGCGGGAUGGCAAGUUGGGUGUUAAAUCUACCGGCUAAACUGGUAGUCGCACUCAAAACUGCUAUGCUUGAGUGAAGUAGAGGCAGGCGGAAUUCCUAGUGUAGCGGUGAAAUGCGUAGAUAUUAGGAGGAACACCAGUGGCGAAGGCGGCCUGCUGGGCUUUUACUGACGCUGAGGCUCGAAAGUGUGGGGAGCAAACAGGAUUAGAUACCCUUGUAGUC
rnacentral:rRNA from 1 species